rnacentral:rRNA from 1 species
AGUUGUUUUGUGCGGUAAGCGAAUGAUUAGCGUAUUUGGGGGCGAUUAGCCUUCGGACGAUUCUCAAACUUUCAAUGCGCAAGGGUGUUGCUGCUUAAUUGAGCUUCACCGGUAAAAACGUCGGCCCUGUGGGCCACUUUUGGUAAGCAGAACUGGCGAUACGGGAUGAACCGUAAGCAUGGUUAAGGUGCCAAACUAUUCGCUUAUAGAUCCCACAAAAGGUGUUGAUUCAUCGAGACAGCAGGACGGUGGCCAUGGAAGUCGGAAUCCGCCAAGGAGUGUGUAACAACUCACCUGCCGAAUGAAUUAGCCCUGAAAAUGGAUGGCGCUUAAGCGGAUGACCGACACCAUGCCGUCUGAAUGAUAUAUUUCAGAUGAGUAGGAGGACGUGGUGAUUGUAACGAAGUAUGUGUGCGAACACGUAUAGAACGAUCACUAGUGCAGAUCUUGGUGGUAGUAGCAAAUAUUCAAGCGAGAUCCUUGAAGGGCGAAGCGGGGAAGGGUUCCACGCUAACAUUGAUUGGGCGUGGGUGAGUCGUUCCUAAGCCGAGUGGCAAUUGCUAAGUAACGGCGAAAGGGAAGCAGGUUUACAUUCCUGCACACGGAUGUGGAGGUGGUGACACUUUAUUGAGGCGAACACAUUGGCGAUGGCGCUAGGCAGAGUUGUCUUUUCUGUUUAACCGUUUGUAUAUAUUGUGUGGAGUCCGAUUAUCGGGAGAAACACAUAUAUACGGGCAGAGCGCCGGGGCUUAUCCGGCGUCUAGCUCGCCAUCGACGAUCCUUGAAACUUUGCCUGCUGAAAUUUUAAUAUCCACGCCGUGGCGUACCGAUCACCGCAUCAGGUCCCCGAGGUGAACAGCCUCUGCUCAAUAUGAAAAAUGCAGGUAAGGGAAGUCGGCAAAUUAGACCCGUAACUUUGGGAAAAGGGUUGGCUCUAGUGCUGCGUGGGAGUGGUUGUCAUGUUGUGGCGUUAUUGAUAUUGUUGAUAUGGCGCGAUACUUCGGUAUUGUUCUUUUCGACUGAUAUUGGUAAUACUGCUCUUGACGACGCCCACAGCAUGCAGCAAACUAGAACUGCAACGGGCAAAGGGAAUCCGACUGUUUAAUUAAAACAAAGCAUUGCGAGGGCCGUGGC